CAACUUUAUACACUAAAUAUGUGUAACUGUUAGAUUAAAAUACCUUUUGGAGGCUAUUAUGGCUUUAAAUUCGGCUAAAAAACAAGAAAUUGUUGCAAAAUACGGUCGUGGUGAG
rfam:Sulfurimonas sp. RIFCSPLOWO2_12_36_12 rifcsplowo2_12_sub10_scaffold_20, whole genome shotgun sequence.